ensembl:snoRNA
CCUCCAGUUCUUGGCAUGCGCGCAGUUGCCCGUACUCGCGUGUGUAAUGUACGGAGGUACAGUAAGCCCGGUGCAAUGUCUUCGGUACCGGCUCCGUGUCCCGUGGGCCGGUCCUAUCCUCAAUCACCGGCACACAG